rnacentral:snRNA from 1 species
AUGUUCACUUCAGCAGCACAUAUACUAAAACUGGAACAAUACAGAGAAGAUUAGCAUGGCCCCUGUGCAAGGAUGACAUGCAAGUCGUGAAGCGUUUCAUAGUUUU